rnacentral:lncRNA from 7 species
AGGCUUUAUGAAGAUCUAUAUAAGAUAUACUACUUCUCUGCAAGACAGAUGGCAACAGUGAGCAGCUUAUGCUUUUGGCCAGUGGAAGAAAUGGAGGCAAGCAAACAUCUCUUUAUUGUUAGUACUAGUGUUUAGCUUUUGAGCAUUCUGUCAGGGGAAGACAGACCCUAUCAGAUCAUAUCUACGAUUCAGAAUUCUUCAGUUUAUUUAUAGAUAUUCAUAUGAACAUGAGAUUAGAGAGAAGUCUCUGUACUGAAGAGUGUUAUUAGUGAUGAACUGAAGUCUGUUUAUGGUUGUGAACUGCUUUUGAAGUCCAGCCCUUGUAGUAUAAAACAAGAUUGUUUUCAAGAUUCUUUGCCUAUAUCACAUUAAUUGUACUGCCAAAUAUUCAUGAAAUACGUUAGCUGUUCUGUGACAUCGUUCUGUUGACAGCACAGAAUAUAUAUCUGUGCUGUGUUUGGAGUUUAACUGUGUCAUUCCAGGUUUUAGACCAGUAAGGGUAGCACAUCAAAAUGACUGUAGCUUUUUACAGUACUGUGAUCCUUGUCAGGAUAACCACAUUUAAUUGGCUCCCCAGAUUCAUUUACAGAUGUAAUUUGAGCAAAGCCUUGAAGAUUCCUGGACAUAUUGUUAAUAAAUCUUGGACAAUAAAUAUUUUAUUUGCUCCCAGAAAUUCCCUACAAAUAUUUUUUGUAAACUGAGUGGUUCUACAAGAUUAAUAUAAGACUUGCAUUUUGAAGACUACUCAACUUUGAACAAUAUGGCCUACUAAUGUUACCUAUUUUCAGAGAUUAUUCUAGUGGUGGGAAUUUGUUUUCAAGUUCCCUUAAUACAAUAUUCUGGAUGGAUGAAGUGCUAAGAGACACCUAAAAAACAUAACUGAGGUUUGUAGCCAGUGUUCCAGAAAGCAACAAGGAGGGAAAACUGACAAAAAAGAGCUUUAAAAAGUUGUGCUUGUUUUAAAUGAGUAGUACAUGUAAUGCAGAAUAACUGUCUGACUACAAUUUCUUAUCUUUAUUGUCAUCGUAGUAUAGAAGUACCUAUAUACAGAAAAUUUUCUGACUGGACAAUUGAUUUAUGUAUCCAUCUAUAUGUCUAUCUAUCUACUAUGACACUGAUUGGUUUCACUAUGCAUACAUGCUGUUGCUUAUUUUUCAUGUUAAAAUAUACUUCUGUGU